GGGGGCUCUUCUCUGCCUGCUCCUGGCCCUCCUGGCUGGGCAGGUGCAAAGUGCCAAGGCUCAGCGCAGAGGUAGGUCCUGUCCCAGUAAUUCUGGUGGAGAUGCCUCCUGAUAGGGCUGGCGGUGAUGCUGGAAGGAGCAUGGGUAACGUGGGGGGAUAGGACCAUCUGCUGCUUCCUGUUCCACACCACUCCACAGACAGCCUGGACAUUGGGUCCCAGCAGCAAGGGGUGGAGAGAGCCCAGAAGCAGAGGGAGUUAAUGCUGGGGCAAGGGAAGAAAUGGCAAAGCAACACUGGUAGGGAUGGGAGUAGAGAGGAGACAGCCAAAGAUGUUCCACUAUGGCAGCAGUGGAGGGGGCUGUGGGGCAGAGAAGGUGCCAGGAAGAGCGCGGGGUGCAGUCCAUUACUCUGUUGUCAGGCUUCUGUGCUGCGUUGGCACAGCCAUGCUAUGGACCUGAGGGGCAGAGAGAGGGCAGAUCCAGGGGUCAGCAGGGGGAUCUAACACAGGGGCCAAAGAAGCAUGAAGGUUGUCUCUGACAAGUCGGUGUGAGGCUGAUGCUGACUCGCACCAGCUCGUUGCUCUCAAAGGGGAUGUGCAAGAAGCAUGAAGGUUGUCUCUGACAAGUCAGUGUGAGGCUGAUGCUGACUCGCUUGUUGCUUUCAAAGGGGAUGUGAAAUGGUGCCCAAAAAGCCCAGGAGCAGGACAUGGGGAGAAAAGCAGAGUCCCACCCCUCUCUACCCAUCCCCAGAACAGACCUGCCUUUGUCCUCAGGCUCUGGAAGAACUGAGGAGUCCUUCCUGGAGGCUGUGUAUGAGGAGAUCAGCUACAGCCCUGGAUGGGAGAAGCAGACAGUGUUUGAUCACUCAGACAUUGCUAUCCUGCCCAGAGGUGAUCCAGAAGAUGGCUAUGAUGAUGCCAGGGAGGUUUCUGAACCUGAGAAUAAUUCUGACUCUGGGCAGGGUUACUGUGAGGUGCCCAGGACCUGAGAGGAGGGAAAGGAGCCCAGGAAUGCAGUCAGAGGGGUGAGUCUGCAUUCCAGAGAAGUACUGGAGGCUCUAGAGUGGAUGGAGAUACCUUGUCCUUUUUCCUGAGGAGCACUGGCUACGAUGAUGUUGAAGAGGUGUCUCUGGCACAUCCCCAUGGGAAUAUGAGCACUGUGACACUAGAGUGGGGCACAACAUAAUCCCUGAGCCCCAGGCAAGGAGAACCCAUCUCUGCCAUGAACUUGAGUGUGGUUGCAAGGGAAGAGAAGCUGGUGCUGCUUAGAGAGCUGUGAGGUCCUUUUUCCCAUGGGCAGCAGUAGUGGGGCAUUUCCUCUUGUGUUAUUAUCUUGUUUUUAUAUCAUAUUCCUGUAUUUGUUCUUAUUAAAACCCCUGAUCUGGAUCUGAAGUUCUGAUCCAGAGCUGGUGCUUCACUGCCCC
rnacentral:lncRNA from 1 species